AGUUUGAUUAUGACUCAGAACGAACGCUGGCGGCGCGUUUUAAGCAUGCAAGUCGAGCGGCAAGGGCCUUCGGGCCCCUAGAGCGGCGGACGGGUGAGUAACACGUGGACAAUCUGCCCCCCGGCCCGGGAUAGCCCAGGGAAACCUGGAUUAAUACCGGAUGAGACGGGACCCGCGAUGGCGGGACCCGGGAAAGGCGCUGCGGCGCCGCCGGGGGAUGAGUCUGCGUCCCAUUAGCUAGACGGCGGGGUAACGGCCCACCGUGGCGACGAUGGGUAGCCGGCCUGAGAGGGUGGACGGCCACAUUGGAACUGAGACACGGUCCAGACUCCUACGGGAGGCAGCAGCUAAGAAUCUUCCGCAAUGGGCGAAAGCCUGACGGAGCGACGCCGCGUGAACGAAGAAGGCCGUGAGGUUGUAAAGUUCUUUUCGGGAGGGGGAACAACCGUGGCAGGGAAUGGCCGCGGGAUGACGUGAAUCCCGGAAUAAGCCCCGGCUAACUACGUGCCAGCAGCUGC
rnacentral:rRNA from 1 species